rnacentral:piRNA from 4 species
CACGCAUCGACCUGGUAUUGCAGUACUU